GACGAACGCUGGCGGCGUGCUUAACACAUGCAAGUCGAACGGAAAGGCCCUGCUUUUGUGGGGUGCUCGAGUGGCGAACGGGUGAGUAACACGUGAGUAACCUGCCCUUGACUUUGGGAUAACUUCAGGAAACUGGGGCUAAUACCGGAUAGGAGCUCCUGCUGCAUGGUGGGGGUUGGAAAGUUUCGGCGGUUGGGGAUGGACUCGCGGCUUAUCAGCUUGUUGGUGGGGUAGUGGCUUACCAAGGCUUUGACGGGUAGCCGGCCUGAGAGGGUGACCGGCCACAUUGGGACUGAGAUACGGCCCAGACUCAUACGGGAGGCAGCAGUGGGGAAUAUUGCACAAUGGGCGGAAGCCUGAUGCAGCAACGCCGCGUGCGGGAUGACGGCCUUCGGGUUGUAAACCGCUUUCGCCUGUGACGAAGCGUGAGUGACGGUAAUGGGGAAAGAAGCACCGGCGAACUACGU
rnacentral:rRNA from 1 species